GUGAGGAAUAUUGCGCAAUGGGGGCAACCCUGACGCAGCGAUGCCGCGUGGGUGAAGAAGGCCUUCGGGUCGUAAAGCCCUGUCAAGCGGGAAGAACGGCCUGGGGACGAAUAAUCCCCGGGUGUGACGGUACCGCUGAAGGAAGCACCGGCUAACUCCGUGCCAGCAGCCGCGGUAAGACGGAGGGUGCGAGCGUUAUUCGGAAUUAUUGGGCGUAAAGGGUGUGCAGGCGGCCGAUCAAGUCAGAUGUGAAAGCCCGGGGCUUAACCUCGGAAGUGCAUGUGAAACUGGUUGGCUUGAGUUCGGGAGAGGAAAGCGGAAUUCCGGGUGUAGAGGUGAAAUUCGUAGAUAUCCGGAGGAACACCGGUGGCGAAGGCGGCUUUCUGGACCGAAACUGACGCUGAGACACGAAAGCGUGGGGAGCAAACAGGAUUAGAUACCCUAGUAGUCC
rnacentral:rRNA from 1 species